AUAACAAAUUUGUGAUACUUCAGGGGGCCUAUUGUUUCGCGGUUUAUAGAAGCCAGAUUUGCCUUUUUUUGACAGACCUCCAAUCUAUUAGUACUUUCAAAUCCGUUGCAAUGGCUUCCUUUUCAUUGGAUUUUCCUCUUUUUCCUUUGGUUUAGUUUAUUUUUAUAUAAGUUAUCCCAAGGAGGAGAGAGGAAGAGAAUGAUGAGUGUCGUAGAUAAAUCUUCGGUUCCGAAUAGUCUGACUAUUGGUAUUGAGGGAAUCCAUCUUUAAAACCAUCGCCGUUAGAGGUUGCUUCCGGUUUAUUCGGUUAAGCGACCCAUGAAAUGGUGAUGACCUAAAGUAUGGAACAUCU
rnacentral:snoRNA from 24 species